rnacentral:rRNA from 2 species
UGGUGCUUGCACCUGAUUGACGAUGGAUCACCAGUGAGUGGCGGACGGGUGAGUAACACGUAGGUAACCUGCCCCGGAGCGGGGGAUAACAUUUGGAAACAGAUGCUAAUACCGCAUAACAACAAAAGCCACAUGGCUUUUGUUUGAAAGAUGGCUUUGGCUAUCACUCUGGGAUGGACCUGCGGUGCAUUAGCUAGUUGGUAAGGUAACGGCUUACCAAGGCGAUGAUGCAUAGCCGAGUUGAGAGACUGAUCGGCCACAAUGGAACUGAGACACGGUCCAUACUCCUACGGGAGGCAGCAGUAGGGAAUCUUCCACAAUGGGCGCAAGCCUGAUGGAGCAACACCGCGUGAGUGAAGAAGGGUUUCGGCUCGUAAAGCUCUGUUGUUGGAGAAGAACGUGCGUGAGAGUAACUGUUCACGCAGUGACGGUAUCCAACCAGAAAGUCACGGCUAACUACGUGCCAGCAGCCGCGGUAAUACGUAGGUGGCAAGCGUUAUCCGGAUUUAUUGGGCGUAAAGCGAGCGCAGGCGGUUGCUUAGGUCUGAUGUGAAAGCCUUCGGCUUAACCGAAGAAGUGCAUCGGAAACCGGGCGACUUGAGUGCAGAAGAGGACAGUGGAACUCCAUGUGUAGCGGUGGAAUGCGUAGAUAUAUGGAAGAACACCAGUGGCGAAGGCGGCUGUCUGGUCUGCAACUGACGCUGAGGCUCGAAAGCAUGGGUAGCGAACAGGAUUAGAUACCCUGGUAGUCCAUGCCGUAAACGAUGAGUGCUAGGUGUUGGAGGGUUUCCGCCCUUCAGUGCCGGAGCUAACGCAUUAAGCACUCCGCCUGGGGAGUACGACCGCAAGGUUGAAACUCAAAGGAAUUGACGGGGGCCCGCACAAGCGGUGGAGCAUGUGGUUUAAUUCGAAGCUACGCGAAGAACCUUACCAGGUCUUGACAUCUUGCGCUAACCUUAGAGAUAAGGCGUUCCCUUCGGGGACGCAAUGACAGGUGGUGCAUGGUCGUCGUCAGCUCGUGUCGUGAGAUGUUGGGUUAAGUCCCGCAACGAGCGCAACCCUUGUUACUAGUUGCCAGCAUUAAGUUGGGCACUCUAGUGAGACUGCCGGUGACAAACCGGAGGAAGGUGGGGACGACGUCAGAUCAUCAUGCCCCUUAUGACCUGGGCUACACACGUGCUACAAUGGACGGUACAACGAGUCGCAAGCUCGCGAGAGUAAGCUAAUCUCUUAAAGCCGUUCUCAGUUCGGACUGUAGGCUGCAACUCGCCUACACGAAGUCGGAAUCGCUAGUAAUCGCGGAUCAGCAUGCCGCGGUGAAUACGUUCCCGGGCCUUGUACACACCGCCCGUCACACCAUGGGAGUUUGUAACGC